rnacentral:misc_RNA from 1 species
AACCAUAGAAACCUGCGGAGUACCUGCGGAGGAUCAUUAUAGUAUAUGGAAUCUCCAUUCUAUAAACCCACUCUGCGUAUCUUGUAACUGUUGCUUCCAUGGGACUUGGUUCCGCCACACCGGCUUCACGGCUGGUGAGCGCCCAUGGAAGGAGAAACAAAACUCUUCUUUGAAAUGUAGUCAGUCUGAACAAGUUUUUAUAAACGUUAAAACUUUCAACAAUGGAUCUCAGAUCGGAAG